rnacentral:misc_RNA from 1 species
GGGUAUGGACCAUUGUUGAUGUUAUCCUGAUUGCUGUGGGAUACAUUGGACCAGCGGACGGAUCUCUCUAUAUCUAACGCUGUCUUCUUUUAAUUAACAGCAGCUAUUUUGAUCAUGAUUUGUCAUUGUACAGUUAAACUUUUUCUAAAAUGAAAUUUGAACUCUGGAUGUUUGUGAUAAAAGUUGAGAAAUUGUGUGCAUGUUUAACUUUAUAGCUUUGUAAAAAUGUGAAGGAGCUUUGAAUCGAAAUUUACAGUGAAAGUGUUAGAGGAAGAAUAAAUGAAGCUGUGAUUUUUUUCUUACUAAUUAAUGUUCUGUUUUUCAUAUGAAUAUUUUUCGCCUUCUUUUUGAAUAGAAAAUAAAUAAUUCGUAAAAAUUC